rnacentral:lncRNA from 1 species
UCGGUAUGAUCAUUCUUUCAUCAGUUUGUUCCCUGUUUCUUCUCUAGCCUGAGCCUGACACACUAUUCUAGCUAGACAUGGGUGUGGCUCGUGACACCUGAUGACCAAAUGGAUCUACGGCACCGUCGAAUCUCAAACUUUAACUGCCAAAACUAUUGUUUUUCAUCCUGUAGUCCCUUUUAGAAUUACGAAACGUCCUUUUUUGGGCCAUGAUUUCCAGGAAUGCUUUCUCGGGGUUUGUGUGCACGUAUUUCAAACCAUACGGACCUAAAAAUUAGAAGUCAUUCCAUCUUUAUUCCCCUAGAGCCUUCCGGCAGUUCCUAAACUGCUCUAUUUGGAGCAUGUUAUCAUUCUUGUUAGUUCUGAGUGAAUUCCCUCGGUAUGAUCAUUCUUUCAUCAGUUUGUUCCCCGUUUCUUCUCUAGUCUGAGCCUAGCACACUAUUCUAGCUAUUAAUGGGUGUGGAUCGUAACACCUGAUGAGCAAACGGAUCUACGGCACCAUCGAAUCUCAAACUUUAACUGCCAAAACUAUUGUUUUUCAUUCUGUAGUCCCUUUUCGAAUUAUUAAACGUCCUUUUUUGGGCCGAGAUUUCCAGGAACGCUUUCUCGGGGUUUGUGUGCAUGUAUUUCAAAUCAUACGGACCUAAAAAUUAGAAGGCAUUCCAUCUUUAUUCCCCUAGAGACUUCCAGCAGUUCCUAAACCGCUCCAGUCGGAGCAUGUUAUCAUUCUUGUUAGUUCUGAGCGAAUUCCCUCGGUAUGAUCAUUCUAUCAUCUGUUUGUUCCCUGUUUCUUCGCUAGCCUAAGCCUGACACACUAUUCUAGGUAGACAUGGGUGUGGCUCGUGACACCUAAUGACCAAACGGAUCUACGGCACCCUCGAAUCUCAAACUUUAACUACCAAAACUAUUGUUUUUCAUUCUGUAGUCCCUUUUAGAUUACUAAACAUCCUUUUUUGGGCUGAGAUUUCCAGGAACGCUUUCUCGGGGUUUGUGUGCAUGUAUUUCAAACCAAACGUUCCUAAAAUUAGAAGUCAUUCCAUCUUAAUUCCCCUAGAGCCUUCUAGCAAUUCCUAAACAGCUCUAGUCGGAGCAUGUUAUCAUUCUUGUUAAUUCUGAGCGAAUUCCCUCCGUAUGAUCAUUCUUUCAUCAGUUUGUUCUCCGUUUCUGCUCUAGUCUGAGCCUAGCACACUAUUCUAGCUAUUAAUGGGUGUGGAUCGUAACACCUAAUGACCAAACGGAUCUACGACACCAUCGAAUCUCAAACUUUAACUGCCAAAACUAUUGUUUUUCAUCCUGUAGUCCCUUUUCGAAUUAUUAAACGUCCUUUUUUGGGCCGAGAUUUCCAGGAACGCUUUCUCGGGGUUUGUGUGGAUGUAUUUCAAAUCAUACGGACCUAAAAAUUAGAAGGCAUUCCAUCUUUAUUCCCCUAGAGCCUUCCAGCAGUUCCUANNNNNNNNNNNNNNNNNNNNNNNNNNNNNNNNNNNNNNNNNNNNNNNNNNNNNNNNNNNNNNNNNNNNNNNNNNNNNNNNNNNNNNNNNNNNNNNNNNNNNNNNUCGCUAGCCUAAGCCUGACACACUAUUCUAGCUACACAUGGGUGUGGCUCGUGACACCUAAUGACCAAACAGAUCUACGGCACCGUCGAAUCUCAAACUUUAACUACCAAAACUAUUGUUUUUCAUUCUGUAGUCCCUUUUAAAUUACUAAACGUCAUUUUUUGGGCCGAGAUUUCUAGGAACGCUUUCUCGGGGUUUGUGUGCAUGUAUUUCAAGUCAUAUGGACCUAAAAAUUAGAAUCCAUUCCAUCUUUAUUCCCCUAGAGCCUUCCAGCAGUUCCUAAACUGCUCCAGUCGGAGCACAUUAUCAUUAUUGUUAGUUCUGACUGAAUUCCCUCGGUAUGAUCAUUCUUUCAUCAGUUUGUUCCCCGUUUCUGCUCUACUCUGAGCUUAACACACUAUUCUAGCUAGGCAUGGGUGUGGCUCGUAACACCUGAUGACCAAACGGAUCUACGAUACCGUCGAAUCUCAAACUUUGACUACGAAAACUAUUGUUUUUCAUUCUAUAGUCCCUUUUAGAAUUACUAAACGUCCUUUUUUGGGCCGAGAUUUCCAGGAACGCUUUCUCGGGGUUUGUGUGCACGUAUUUCAAACAAUACGGACCUAAAAAUUAGAAUUCAUUCCAUCUUUAUUCCCCUAGAGCCUUCCAGCAGUUCCUAAACCGCUCUAGUCGGAGCACUUUAUCAUUCUUGUUAGUUCUCAGCGAAUUCCCUCGGUAUGAUCAUUCUUUCAUCAGUUUGUUCCCCAUUUCUUCUCUAGCCUGAGCCUAACACACUAUUCUAGCUACACAUGGGUGUGGCUCGUCACACCCGAUGACCAAACGGAUCUACGGCACCGUCGAAUCUCAAACUUUAACUGCCAAAACUAUUGUUUUUCAUCCUGUAGUCCCUUUUAGAAUUACUAAACGUCCUUUUUUGGGUAGAUAUUUCUAGGAACGCUUUAUCGGGGUUUGUGUGCACGUAUUUCAGACCAUACGGACCUAAAAAUUAGAAGUCAUUCCAUCUUUAUUCCCCUAUAGCCUUCCAGCAGUUCCUAAACCGCUCCAGUCGGAGCCCGUUAUCAUUCUUGUUAGUUUUGAGCGAAUUCCCUCGGUAUGAUCAUUCUUUCAUCAGUUUGUUCCCCGUUUCUUCUCUAGUCUAAGCCUAGCACACUAGUUUAGCUAGACAUGGGUGUGGCUCGUAACACCUGAUGGCCAAACGGAUCUACGGCACCGUGAAAUCUCAAACUUUAACUGCCAAAACUAUUGUUUUUCAUCCUGUAGUCCCUUUUAGAAUUACUAAACGUCCUUUUUUGGGCUGAGAUUUCCAGGAACACUUUCUCGGGGUUUGUGUGCAUGUAUUUCAAACCAUAUGGACCUAAAAAUUAGAAGUCAUUCCAUCUUUAUUCCCCUAGAGCCUUCCAACAGUCCCUAAACCGCUCCAGUCCGAGCAUGUUAUCAUUCUUGUUAGUUCUGAGUGAAUUCCCUCGGUAUGAUCAUUCUUUCAUCAGUUUGUUCCCCAUUUCUUCUCUAGUCUGAGCCUAGCUCACUAUUCUAGCUAGACAUGGGUGUGGCUCAUAAUACCUGAUGACCAAACGGAUCUACGGCACCAUCGAAUCUCAAACUUUAACUGCCAAAACAAUUGUUUUUCAUCCUGUAGUCCCUUUUAGAAUUACUAAACGUCCUUUUUUGGGCCGAGAUUUCCAGGAACGCUUUCUCGGGGUUUGUGUGCACGUAUUUCAAACCAAGCGUUCUUAAAAAUUAGAAGUCAUUCCAUCUUUAUUCCCCUAGAGCCUUACAGCAGUUCCUAAACUGCUCCAGUCGGCGCACGUUAUCAUUCUUGUUAGUUCUGAGCGAAUUCCCUCGGUAUGAUCAUUCUUUCAUCAGUUUGUUCCCCGUUUCUUCUCUAGUUUGAGCCUAGCACACUAUUCUAGCUAGACAUGGGUGUGGGUCAUAACACCUGAUGACCAAACAGAUCGACGACACCAUCGAAUCUCAAACUUUAACUGCCAAAACUAUUGUUUUUCAUCCUGUAGUCCCUUUUAGAAUUACUAAACGUCCUUUUUUGGGUCGAGAUUUCCAAGAAAGCUUUCUCGGGCUUUGUGUGCACGUAUUUCAAACCAAAAAUUUCUAAAAAUUAGAAGUCAUUCCAUCUUUAUUCCCCUAGAGCCUUCCAGCAGUUCCUAAACAGCUCCAGUCGGAGCACGUUAUCAUUCUUGUUAGUUCUGAGCGAAUUCCCUCGGUAUGAUCAUUCUUUCAUCAGUUUGUUCCCCGUUUCUUCUAUAGUCUGAGCCUAUCACACUAUUCUAGCUAGACAUGGGUGUGGCUCGUAACACCUGAUGACCAAACGGAUCUACGGCACCAUCGAAUCUAAAACUUUAACUGCCAAAACUAUUGUUUUUCAUCCUGUAGUCCCUUUAGAACUACUAAAUGUCCUUUUUUGGGCCAAGAUUUCCAGGAACGCUUUCUCGGGGUUUGUGUGCAUGUAUUUCAAACCAUACGGACCUAAAAAUUAGGUCAUUCCAUCUUUAUUCCCCUAGAGCCUUCCAGCAGUUCCUAAACCGCUCCAGUCGGAGCAUGUUAUCAUUCUUGUUUGUUCUGAGUGAAUUCCCUCAGUAUGAUCAUUCUUUCAUCAUUUUGUUCCCCGUUUCUUCUCUAGUCUGAGCCUAGCACACUAUUCUAGCUAGACAUGGGUGUGGCUCGUAACACCUGACCAAACGGAUCUACGGCACCGUCGAAUCUCAAACUUUAACUGCCAAAACUAUUGUUUUUCAUCCUGUAGUCCCUUUUAAAUUUAAUAAACGUCCUUUUUUGGGCUGAGAUUUCCAGGAACGCUUUCGUGCGGUUUGUGUGCAAGUAUUUCAAAUCAUACAGACCUAUAAAUUAGAAGUCAUUUCAUCUUUAUUCCCCUAGAGCCUUCGAGCGGUUCCUAAACCGCUCAAGUCGGAGCAUGUUAUCAUUCUUGUUAGUUCUGAGUGAAUUCCCUCGGUAUGAUCAUUCUUUCAUCAGUUUGUUCCCCGUUCCUUCUCUAGUCUGAGCCUAGCACACUACUCUAGCUAGACAUGGGUUUGGCUCGUAACACCUGAUAACCAAACGGGUCUACGACACCAUCGAAUCUCAAACUUUUUUGGGCCAAGAUUUGCAGGAACGCUUUCUCGGGGUUUGUGUGCACGUAUUUCAAAUCAUGCGGACCUAAAAAUUAGAAGUCAUUCCAUAUUUGUUCCCCUAGAGCCUUCCAGCAGUUCCUAAACCGCUCCAGUUGGACCACGUUAUCAUUCUUGUUAGUUCUGAGUGAAUUACCUCGGUAUGAUCAUUCUUUCAUAAGUUUGUUCCCCGUUUCUUCUAUAGUCUGAGCCUAGCACACUACUCUAGCUAGACAUGGGAGUGGCUCGUAACACCUGAUGACCAAACAGAUCUAUGGCACCGUCGAAUCUCAAACUUUAACUGCCAAAACUAUUGUUUUUCAUCCUGUAGUCCCUUUUAGAAUUACUAAACGUCAUUUUUUGGGCUGAGAUUUCCAGGAACGCUUUCGCGGGGUUUGUGUGCACGUAUUUCAAACCAUAGGGACCUAAAAAUUAGAAGUCAUUCCAUCUUUAUUCCCCUAGAGCCUAACACACUAUUCUAGCUAGACAUGGGUGUGGCUCGUAACACCUGAUGACAAAACGGAUCUACGGCACCAUCGAAUCUCAAACUUUAACUGCCAAAAUUAUUGUAUUUCAUCCUGUAGUCCCUUUUAGAAUUAUUAAACGUCCUUUUUUUGGGCUGUGAUUUCCAUGAACGCUUUCUCGGGGUUUCUGUGCACGUAUUUCAAAUCAUACGGACCUAAAAAUUAGAAGUCAUUCCAUCUUUAUUCCCCUAGAGCCUUCCAACAGUUCCUAAACCGCUCCAGUCGGAGCACAUUAUCAUUCUUGUUAGUUCUGAGUGAAUUCCCAUGGUAUGAUCAUUCUUUCAUUAGUUUGUUCCCCGUUUCUUCUCUAGUCUGAGCCUACCACACUAUUCUAGCUAGACAUGGGUGUGGCUCAUAACACCUUAUGACCAAACGGAUCUACGGCACCAUCGAAUCUCAAACUUUAACCGCCAAAACUAUUGUUUUUCAUCAUGUAGUCCCUUUUAGAAUUACUAAACGUCCUUCUUUGGGCAGAGAUUUCCAGGAAUGCUUUAUCGGGGUUUGUGUGCACGUAUUUCAGACCAUACGGACCUAAAAAUUAGAAGUCAUUCCAUCUUUAUUCCCCUAGAGCCUUCCAAUAGUUCCUGAACCGCUCCAGUCGGAGCAUGUUAUCAUUCUUGUUAGUUCUGAGCGAAUUCCCUCGGUAUGAUCAUUCUUUCAUCAGUUUGUUUCCCGUUUCUUCUCUAGUCUGAGCCUAGCACACUACUCUAGCUAGACAUUGGUGUGGCUCGUAACACCUGAUGACCAAACGGAUCUACGGCACUGUCAAAUCUCAAACUUUAACUGCCAAAACUAUUGUUUUUCAUCCUGUAGUCCCUUUUAGAAUUACUAAACGUCCUUUUUUGGGCCGAUAUUUCCAGGAACGCUUUCUUGGGGUUUGUGUGCAUGUAUUUCAAACCAUAUGGAACUAAAAAUUACAAGUCAUUCCAUCUUUAUUCCCCUAGAGCCUUCCAGCAGUUCCUAAACCGCUCCAAUCGGAGCAUGUUAUCAUUCUUGUUAAUUCUGAGUGAAUUCCCUUGGUAUGAUCAUUCUUUCAUCAGUUUGUUCCCGAUUUCUUCUCCAGUCUGAGCCUAGCUCACUAUUCUAGCUAGACAUGGGUGUGGCUCAUAAUACCUGAUGACCAAACGGAUCUACGACACCAUCGAAUCUCAAACUUUAACUGCCAAAACUAUUGUUUUUCAUCUUGUAGUCCCUUUUAGAAUUACUAAACGUCCUUUUGUGGGCUGAGAUUUCCAGGAACGCUUUAUCGGGGUUUGUGUGCUCGUAUUUCAGACCAUACGGACCUAAAAAUUAGAACUCAUUCCAUCUUUAUUCCCCUAGAGCCUUCCAGCAGCUCCUAAACCGCUCCAGUCGAGCACGUUAUCAUUCUUGUUAGUUCUGAGCAAAUUCCCUCGUUAUGAUCAUUCUUUCAUCAGUUUGUUCCCCGUUUCUUCUCUGGUCUGAGCCUAGCACACUAUUCUAGCUAUUAAUGGGUGUGGAUCGUAACACUUGAUGAUCAAACAGAUCUACGGCACCAUCGAUUCUCAAACUUUAACUGCCAAAACUAUUGUUUUUCAUCCUGUAGUCCCUUUUAGAAUUAUUAAACGUCCUUUUUUGGGCCGAGAUUUCUAGGAACGCUGUCUCGGGGUUUGUGUGCACGUAUUUCUAAUCAUACGGACCUAAAAAUUAGAAGUCAUUCCAUAUUUAUUCCCCUAGAGCCUUCCAGCAGUUCCUAAACCGCUCAAGUCGGAGCACGUUAUCAUUCUUGUUAGUUCUUAGCGAAUUCCCUCGAUAUGAUCAUUCUUUCAUCAGUUUGUUCCCCGUUUCUUCUCUAGCCUGAGCCCGACACACUAUUCUAGCUAGACAUGGGUGUGGCUCGUAACACCUAAUGACCAAACGGAUCUACGGCACCGUUGAAUCUCAAACUUUAACAGCCAAAAUUAUUGUUUUUCAUUAUGUAGUCUCUUUUAAAUUACUAAACGUCAUUUUUUGAGCUGAGAUAUCCAGGAACGCUUUCUCGGGGUUUUUGUGCACGUAUUUCAAAUCAUACGGACCUGAAAAUUAGAAGUCAUUCCAUCUUUAUUCCCCUAGAGCCUUCCAGCAGUUCCUAAACCGCUCCAGUUGGACCACGUUAUCAUUCUUGUUAGUUCUGAGUGAAUUACCUUAGUAUGAUCAUUCUUUCAUCAGUUUGUUCCCUGUUUCUUCUAUAGUCUGAGCCUAGCACACUACUCUAGCUAGACAUGGGUGUGGCUCGUAACACCUGAUGACCAAACAGAUCUACGGCACCGUCGAAUCUCAAACUUUAACUGCCAAAACUAUUGUUUUUCAUCCUGUAGACCCUUUUAGAAUUACUAAACGUCCUUUUUUGGGCUGAGAUUUCCGGGAACGCUUUCACGGGGUUUGUGUGCACGUAUUUUAAACCAUAUGGACCUAAAAAUUAGAAGUCAUUCCAUCUUUAUUCCCAUAGAGCCUAACACACUAUUCUAGCUAGAUAUGGGUGUGGCUCGUAACACCUGAUGACCAAACGGAUCUACGGCACCAUCGAAUCUCAAACUUUAACUGCCAAAACUAUUGUAUUUCAUCAUGUAGUCCCUUUUAGAAUUAUUAAACGUCCUUUUUUAGGGCCGUGAUUUCCAUGAACGCUUUCUUGGGGUUUCUGUGCAUGUAUUUCAAAUCAUACGGACCUAAAAAUUAGAAGUCAUUCCAUCUUUAUUCCCCUAGAGCCUUCCAGCAGUUCCUAAACCGCUUCAGUCGGAGCACGUUAUCAUUCUUGUUAGUUCUGAGUGAAUUCCCUUGGUAUGAUCAUUCUUUCAUCAGUUUGUUCCCCGUUUCUUCUCUAGUCUGAGCCUAGCACACUAUUCUAGCUAGACAUGGGUGUGGCUCAUAACACCUCAUGACCAAACGGAUCUACGGCACCAUCGAAUCUCAAACUUUAACUGCCAAAACUAUUGUUUUUCAUCCUGUAGUCCCUUUUAGAAUUACUAAACGUCCUUUUUUGGGCAGAUAUUUCCAGGAACGCUUUAUCGGGGUUUGUGUGCUCGUAUUUCAGACCAUACGGACCUAAAAAUUAGAACUCAUUCCAUCUUUAUUCCCCUAUAGCCUUCCAGCAAUUCCGAAACCACUCUAUUCGGAGCACGUUAUCAUUCUUGUUAGUUCUAAAAGAAUUCCCUCGGUAUGAUCAUUCUUUCAUCAGUUUAUUUCCCGUUUCUUCUCUAGUCUAAGCCUAGCACACUAGUCUAGCUAGACAUGGGUGUGGCUCGUAACACCUGAUGACCAAACGGAUCUACGGCACCGUCAAAUCUCAAACUUUAACUGCCAAAACUAUUGUUUUUCAUCCUGUAGUCCCUUUAGAAUUACAAAAGGUCCUUUUUUGGGCCGAGAUUUCCAGGAACACUUUCUCGGGGGUUUGUGUGCAUGUAUUUCAAACCAUAUGGACCUAAAAAUUAGAAGUCAUUCCAUCUUUAUUCCCCUAGAGCCUUCCAGCAGUUCCUAAACCGCUCCAGUCGGAGCAUGUUAUCAUUCUUGUUAGUUCUGAGUGAAUUCCCUCGGUAUGAUCAUUCUUUCAUCAGUUUGUUCCCCAUUUCUUCUCUAGUCUGAGCCUAGCUCACUAUUCUAGCUAGACAUGGGUGUGGCUCGUAAUACCUGAUGACCAAAUGGAUCUACGGCACCAUCGAAUCUCAAACUUUUACUGCCAAAACUAUUGUUUUUCAUCCUGUAGUCCCUUUUAGAAUUACUAAACGUCCUUUUUUGGGCUGAGAUUUCCAGGAACGCUUUCUUGGGGUUUGUGUGCACGUAUUUCAAACCAAGCGUUCCUAAAAAUUAGAAGUCAUUCCAUCUUUAUUCCCCUAGAGCCUUACAGCAGUUCCUAAACUGCUCCAGUCGGCGCACGUUAUCAUUCUUGUUAGUUCUGAGUGAAUUCCCUCGGUAUGAUCAUUCUUUCAUCAGUUUGUUCCCCGUUUCUUCUCUAGUCUGAGCCUACCACACUAUUCUAGCUAGACAUGGGUGUGGCUCAUAACACCUUAUGACCAAACGGAUCUACGGCACCAUCGAAUCUCAAACUUUAACUGCCAAAACUAUUGUUUUUCAUCCUGUAGUCCCUUUUAGAAUUACUAAACGUCCUUUUUUGGGCAGAUAUUUCCAGGAAUGCUUUAUCGGGGUUUGUGUGCACGUAUUUCAGACCAUACGGACCUAAAAAUUAGAAGUCAUUCCAUCUUUAUUCCCCUAUAGCCUUCCACCAGUUCCUAAACCACUCCAGUCGGAGCACGUUAUCAUUCUUGUUAGUUCUGAGCGAAUUCCCUCGGUAUGAUCAUUCUUUCAUCAGUUUAUUCCCCGUUUCUUCUCUAGUCUAAGCCUAGCACACUAGUCUAGCUAGACAUGGGUGUGGCUCGUAACACCUGAUGACCAAACGGAUCUACGGCACCGUCAAAUCUCAAACUUUAACUGCCAAAACUAUUGUUUUUCAUCCUGUAGUCCCUUUUAGAAUAACUAAACGUCCUUUUUUGGGCCGAGAUUUCCGGGAACACUUUCUCGGGGUUUGUGUGCAUGUAUUUCAAACCAUAUGGACCUAAAAAUUAGAAGUCAUUCCAUCUUUAUUCCCCUAGAGCCUUCCAGCAGUUCCUAAACCGCUCCAGUCGGAGCAUGUUAUCAUUCUUGUUAGUUCUGAGUGAAUUCCCUCGGUACGAUCAUUCUUUCAUCAGUUUGUUCCCCGUUUCUUCUCUAGUCUGAGCCUAGCUCACUAUUCUAGCUAGACAUGGGUGUGGCUCAUAAUACCUGAUGACCAAACGGAUCUACGGCACUAUCGAAUCUCAAACUUUAACUGCCAAAACUAUUGUUUUUCAUCCUGUAGUCCCUUUUAGAAUUACUAAACGUCCUUUUUUGGGCCGAGAUUUCCAGGAA